AAUUAUUAAAAAGCGCCAGGACUCAUAAUGAGAAUAAUUAUGAGUUGACGAGGAUGGGGAGUAUCGAAUCUUCGGCGGAUGCCCCGCGGUAGCGCACUACCGUUAAUGAUUGAUAAAAGCGAAAAGUGAUUUUCGUGACAAGAUCAAUCUGGUGUUAAAA
rnacentral:ncRNA from 2 species